ACGGUUGCAUAUUUGCGAUCGCAGUUAUUUUCUGCGAUUGCGGUUGCUUGACUUCUGCUUGAUUGCCACAACCGCGGUUACUAGACUGCAACUAUGGUAACUGAGGCCACUUCCUGCUCUAGGUCUUCAGCUGCACUAUUUUGCUCCCUUUUUGAUUAUUUUAAGCUCCAAUCUGGAUCUUUCUAUUCCCUCAACUCUAUGCCUAUAGAGAGUGGAUAUUAGUGCAUUUAUUCAUAAUUAUGUUUGAUUUAUUCAUUCAAAACAAGUAUUGUGCACGAAUAUUGGGUGCUAAUGAGUCGUAA
rnacentral:lncRNA from 1 species